rnacentral:misc_RNA from 1 species
UUUCCGUAGGUGAACCUGCGGAAGGAUCAUUCAUAAUAAGUGUUUUAUGGCACUUUUUUAAAUCCAUAUCCACCUUGUGUGCAAUGUCAGGGUUGAUUUUUCUCUCGAGAGGAUCGGCCCCAAACAUCAACUAUAUCUCAACUCUUUGUCUGUAAAAUAUUAUGAAUAAAACAAUCCAAAAUACAACUUUCGACAACGGAUCUCUUGGCUCUC